rnacentral:tRNA from 1 species
UAUUGUUAUUUUGGCAGAUUAGUGCAUUAAAUUUAGAAUUUAAUUAUGUAAAUAUUUACAAAUAAUAC